UAGAAUAGUAUUUAAACCACAUAAAAUCUAACCUGCAAUUAGAAAUCGCCUUGGCCUAUUCUAA
rnacentral:tRNA from 1 species